rnacentral:rRNA from 31 species
ACACGACUCUCGGCAACGGAUAUCUCGGCUCUCGCAUCGAUGAAGAACGUAGCGAAAUGCGAUACCUGGUGUGAAUUGCAGAAUCCCGCGAACCAUCGAGUCUUUGAACGCAAGUUGCGCCCGAGGCCUUUGGGCCGAGGGCACGCCUGCCUGGGCGUCACGC